GAUACCNUGGUAGUCCACGCCGUAAACGAUGUCGACUUGGAGGUUGUUCCCUUGAGGAGUGGCUUCCGGAGCUAACGCGUUAAGUCGACCGCCUGGGGAGUACGGCCGCAAGGUUAAAACUCAAAUGAAUUGACGGGGGCCCGCACAAGCGGUGGAGCAUGUGGUUUAAUUCGAUGCAACGCGAAGAACCUUACCUACUCUUGACAUCCAGAGAAUUUGGCAGAGAUGCUUUGGUGCCUUCGGGAACUGUGAGACAGGUGCUGCAUGGCUGUCGUCAGCUCGUGUUGUGAAAUGUUGGGUUAAGUCCCGCAACGAGCGCAACCCUUAUCCUUUGUUGCCAGCGAUUCGGUCGGGAACUCAAAGGAGACUGCCGGUGAUAAACCGGAGGAAGGUGGGGAUGACGUCAAGUCAUCAUGGCCCUUACGAGUAGGGCUACACACGUGCUACAAUGGCGCAUACAAAGAGAAGCGACCUCGCGAGAGCAAGCGGACCUCAUAAAGUGCGUCGUAGUCCGGAUCGGAGUCUGCAACUCGACUCCGUGAAGUCGGAAUCGCUAGUAAUCGUGGAUCAGAAUGCCACGGUGAAUACGUUCCCGGGCCUUGUACACACCGCCCGUCACACCAUGGGAGUGGGUUGCAAAAGAAGUAGGUAGCUUAACCUUCGGGAGGGCGCUUACCACUUUGUGAUUCAUGACUGGGGUGAAGUCGUAACAAGGUAAC
rnacentral:rRNA from 1 species